GCAUAUCAAUAAGCGGAGGAAAAGAAACCAACCGGGAUUGCCUCAGUAACGGCGAGUGAAGCGGCAAGAGCUCAAAUUUGAAAGCUGGCUCCUUCGGGGUCCGCAUUGUAAUUUGCAGAGGAUGCUUCGGGUGCGGCCCCUGUCUAAGUGCCCUGGAACGGGCCGUCAGAGAGGGUGAGAAUCCCGUCUGGGAUGGGGUGUCCGCGCCCGUGUGAAGCUCCUUCGACGAGUCGAGUUGUUUGGGAAUGCAGCUCUAAAUGGGUGGUAAAUUUCAUCUAAAGCUAAAUACUGGCCGGAGACCGAUAGCGCACAAGUAGAGUGAUCGAAAGAUGAAAAGCACUUUGAAAAGAGAGUUAAAAAGCACGUGAAAUUGUUGAAAGGGAAGCGCUUGCGACCAGACUCGCCUCCAGGGUUCAGCCGGCAUUCGUGCCGGUGUACUUCCCUGGGGGCGGGCCAGCGUCGGUUUGGGCGGCCGGUCAAAGGCUCCCGGAAKGUAGUGCCCUCCGGGGCACCUUAUAGCCGGGAGUSCAAUGCGGCCAKCCYGGRCCGAGGAACGCGSUUCGGCACGGACGCUGGCAUAAUGGUYGUAAACGACCCGUCUUSAAACACSGACCAAGGAGUCUAACAUCUACGCGAGUGUUCGGGUGUCAAACCCGUACSCGCAGUGAAAGCGAAMGGAGGUGGGAGCCCCCUSGUGGGGCGCACCAUCGACCGAUCCUGAWGUYUUCGGAUGGAUUUGAGUAAGAGCRUAAAKGUGGGGACCCGAAAGAUGGUGAACUAUGCCUGAAUAGGGYGAAGCCAGAGGAAACUCUGGUGGAGGCUCGCAGCGGUUCUGACGUGCWAAUCGAUCGUCAAAUUUGGGUAUAGGGGCGAAAGACUAAUCGAACCAUCUAGUAGCUGGUUCCUGCCCAAAG
rnacentral:rRNA from 1 species